GGCACUACGGUGCUGAAGCAACAAAUGCCCUGCUUCCAGGAAAAGCCUCUAAGCAUCAGGUAACAUCAAAUCGUACCCCAAACCGACACAGGUGGUCAGGUAGAGAAUACCAAGGCGCUUGAGAGAACUCGGGUGAAGGAACUAGGCAAAAUGGUGCCGUAACUUCGGGAGAAGGCACGCUGAUAUGUAGGUGAAGUCCCUUGCGGAUGGAGCUGAAAUCAGUCGAAGAUACCAGCUGGCUGCAACUGUUUAUUAAAAACACAGCACUGUGCAAACACGAAAGUGGACGUAUACGGUGUGACGCCUGCCCGGUGCCGGAAGGUUAAUUGAUGGGGUCAGCGCAAGCGAAGCUCUUGAUCGAAGCCCCGGUAAACGGCGGCCGUAACUAUAACGGUCCUAAGGUAGCGAAAUUCCUUGUCGGGUAAGUUCCGACCUGCACGAAUGGCGUAAUGAUGGCCAGGCUGUCUCCACCCGAGACUCAGUGAAAUUGAACUCGCUGUGAAGAUGCAGUGUACCCGCGGCAAGACGGAAAGACCCCGUGAACCUUUACUAUAGCUUGACACUGAACAUUGAGCCUUGAUGUGUAGGAUAGGUGGGAGGCUUAGAAGUGUGGACGCCAGUCUGCAUGGAGCCGACCUUGAAAUACCACCCUUUAAUGUUUGAUGUUCUAACGUUGACCCGUAAUCCGGGUUGCGGACAGUGUCUGGUGGGUAGUUUGACUGGGGCGGUCUCCUCCUAAAGAGUAACGGAGGAGCACGAAGGUUGGCUAAUCCUGGUCGGACAUCAGGAGGUUAGUGCAAUGGCAUAAGCCAGCUUGACUGCGAGCGUGACGGCGCGAGCAGGUGCGAAAGCAGGUCAUAGUGAUCCGGUGGUUCUGAAUGGAAGGGCCAUCGCUCAACGGAUAAAAGGUACUCCGGGGAUAACAGGCUGAUACCGCCCAAGAGUUCAUAUCGACGGCGGUGUUUGGCACCUCGAUGUCGGCUCAUCACAUCCUGGGGCUGAAGUAGGUCCCAAGGGUAUGGCUGUUCGCCAUUUAAAGUGGUACGCGAGCUGGGUUUAGAACGUCGUGAGACAGUUCGGUCCCUAUCUGCCGUGGGCGCUGGAGAACUGAGGGGGGCUGCUCCUAGUACGAGAGGACCGGAGUGGACGCAUCACUGGUGUUCGGGUUGUCAUGCCAAUGGCACUGCCCGGUAGCUAAAUGCGGAAGAGAUAAGUGCUGAAAGCAUCUAAGCACGAAACUUGCC
rnacentral:rRNA from 1 species